GACGAACGCUGGCGGCGUGCUUAACACAUGCAAGUCGAACGGAAAGGCCCUGCUUUUGUUGGGUGCUCGAGUGGCGAACGGGUGAGUAACACGUGAGUAACCUGCCCUUGACUUUGGGAUAACUUCAGGAAACUGGGGCUAAUACCGGACAUGAUCCUCUGCUACAUGGUGGGGGUUGGAAAGUUUCGGCGGUUGGGGAUGGACUCGCGGCUUAUCAGCUUGUUGGUGGGUUAGUGGCUUACCAAGGCUUUGACGGGUAGCCGGCCUGAGAGGGUGACCGGCCACAUAGGGACUGAGGUGCGGCCAAGACUGCUACGGGAGGCAGCAGUGGGGAAUAUUGCACAAAGGGCGGAAGCCUGAAGCAGCAACGCCGCGUGGGGGAUGACGGCCGUCGGGUUGGAACCCGCUUCCGCCUGUGACGAAGCGUGAGUGACGGUAAUGGGAAAAGAAGCACCGGCUAACUACGUG
rnacentral:rRNA from 1 species